UAUGAGCCCCGAUGGAAGCGAUAUCCUUUUAUGGCAUGGUUUGCCAUAAAAGAUAAAGUGGACAGCGGGACUGGAG
rnacentral:sRNA from 1 species